UUGAAUAUAACCAAAUGAUUGUUUACAUAGGAAUUUAUACAGCUCAUACAACUAAUUCAUUUCUCGAUUAGUUGUAUUCAAGAAAUUCUAACUACUUCACUAACUGUCUUGGUGGCAGCUUCUAACUCCAGCUGCAGUUUGAUAUUUCUAACUGCCUUCUAACCACUAACUGAUUUUGCCGCCUCUUUCUUCAAUCUCCUACUUUAGCUAAUACAAAAUAUAAUCCUUCGUCCAAGCUGGACUUUCUCCCGACCUUCUUGAUUUCUCAAUAGCAUUCUUUCUCCUCUGUCUUUCCUUUCAUUAUUAAAUCUGUAUCAGUCCCAUCUUCUACUGUUAAAAAUCUGUAUCAAUAUUGUCCCCAUGAAAACGAACUUGGUCCUCCAAGUUCAGCUGUGGAAAUUUUUCCUGAAGAGACUGGAGGUCUUCCCAUGAACUUUCUUCCACGGGUAACCCUUCCCAUUGAACUAGUACUUGGGUUUUCAGUUGACCCACUUUAGUAAUAGUUCUACUGCUCAAUAAAUCCAUAGGUAUAGUAUUUGACUUGCAUUACCAUCUACAGGAAGAUUGUUGGCAUCAUUGGUGGUGGACGAACCAUAAAAUGGUUUUAGCAGAGAUACAUGAAACACAUGAUGAAUUUUACGACUUGAGGGAAGAUCUAAAUGAUAGGCAAUCUGUCCAAUUCUGUGUAAAACAGGAAAUGGACCAUAAAAUUUUUGAUAGAGUUUUG
rnacentral:lncRNA from 1 species